CUACGGGUUGCUGCAGUGAGGAAUUUUGCGCAAUGGGGGCAACCCUGACGCAGCAACGCCGCGUGAGUGAAGAAGGCCUUUGGGUCGUAAAGCUCUGUCAACAGGGAAGAAGUUACGUGAUAUUAACAGUGUCAUGUAUUGACGGUACCUGUGGAGGAAGCAUCGGCUAACUCCGUGCCAGCAGCCGCGGUAAUACGGGGGAUGCAAGCGGUAUUCGGAAUCAUUGGGCGUAAAGGGCACGCAGGCGGUCCUGUCAGUCAGAUGUGGAAAGCCCGGGGCUCAACCCCGGACGUGCAUUUGAAACAGCAGGACUUGAGGACGGUAGAGGAAAGCGGAAUUCCUGGUGUAGAGGUGAAAUUCGUAGAUAUCAGGAGGAACACCGGUGGCGAAGGCGGCUUUCUGGACCGAAACUGACGCUGAGGUGCGAAGGCGUGGGUAGCGAACAGGAUUAGAUACCCCUGUAGUC
rnacentral:rRNA from 1 species